rnacentral:lncRNA from 1 species
GAAGGGGAUUCAUGUCAAUGUGUACUAUACUGUAAAAUAAUUCUUUUUCUGUUUGUUUUUUUUCCAGUACCAGGAGUUGAACUCAGGACCUCGAGCUUGCCAGGCAAGUGCCAUGCCACUGAGCUAAAUCCCCAGCCCCUGUAAAAUAAUUCUUAAUGGCAACAUUCACUGUAAUUUUUGAUCACGCCACCCACAUUCACAAGCAUGGCUUCCGCGAUCAUCACCCUGAUCUCGUUCAUCAUUUGCAGCCAUUCUCUGCCAUGGACCAUGGAUGCACACUUUCUGCAGCAGCUCUGGAAAACCUCUUUCCUGAGUGUCUUUCGGUGCACUGUUAUUCCUUCCUGGAUAGCCUGAAUCAGUUCGAACCUUUCCCUUUGGUAGUCGUUUUCACUCGGAAACAGAGAAAAAUCCCACAGUGCCAGACUCAGUGAAUGAGGUGGACCAGGACACAGCGCUGGGUUUUUUGCAAGGCUGCCUUUCCUUCGGAUGUCACGCAACAGCACCAUUCACCAUGGUUUUGCUCCCGUCUCAGAAAGAACUCCCAGAGCUGCUUCAGAAAGUGGUGAGAAUGAAAACCAGCACCCACCUCUCCUUCUGGCACCAUCGCCAUUGGCCUGGGGAUUCUCAGCAAGAAAGAAAUGCAAUCAGGAAGAGUUUGCCAUUAUGCAGCAGGGAGAAUUCAGCAGCCUCACUGUCCAUUUAGAGACUCUGUCCGAUAUUCUGUUCUCUGCCAAAAUCCAGUCCGGAGGGACGUUGGCCAACCCAGCCUCAUGGUGUCCUUAUUUGUUUGCUGCACUGAUAACAUCAUCUUGGCUGAGAAUAUGGUCAACCUAGUCUAGCACAAAGAAGAAAUAUGUUUAUUUGGGGCUAUUUAGAGUUGCAAUCCAGGAAAUACAGAUGCAAGCAAUCUUUCAAAUAGGCAUCAAGGAUUUCCAAAAUGGUAGCUCUACUGACAGCUUUAAUCCACAACAGGGGUUGGAAUCCUCACUGUCACUCAGGAAUUACGACCACUGCAGUUAAGUGACCUUCUAGGAAAGGAGUCAGGUCCAGCCUCUGGACAGUUUGGGGGAAGGGCUCCGUUUCACAGAGAUCAGCAGAGAUCACAAAAAUUAUUUCCAGAAACUAACUUCUGCUCCAGUCCAAAGGUCAAAG